AAACCAUCACAAACAUUACCAGGGAGGCCCAAGGGCGCACAGCUGGGAAGAGGAGAGGUGGGCCGCAUUCACACCAAGUCUGUCGGAUUCCCAAGCCCUUAUUUCUCCACGACGCUCCCAGUCUCUCAAUGUCCGUUGGGGCCAACAGAGAACCAGAGAUGAGAAGGGACUUGCCAAAUUCAGAUCCAGUUCUCUGGGCUUCCUGCCCGAGGUUCUCCCCAGGGGAGACUCUGACAUGUAAAGUAGUAAUGGCUGGUGACAGACGUGCUCACAGAGGCUCGCUCUGGGCCAGAAGGCGGGAUGGAUAUUUUACACGACCGAUGUCACUUGGUCUCCAGGAUGCCCCAGGAGAAAAGACACGUUGUCCUGUUUCCCAGAUGAAGAACCUCAAGUCGCAGGUCCUGUGACAUGCCCAGUGACACCCGGCGAGUUAAUUGCCAAGCAGAGACCCAGGACACUCACCAAGAGCAGGGCCCGGAGUAGAACUUCAAGUUCAAGUUUGCUUGACCCUAAAACCCGUCCCUAACCCCAGCACAGCCUGCCUCUGCCAGCUGGCCCGUCUCAGUGGGAGGAGGUACAUGGCUGUGGUCCUGCAGUAACCCAGGGUGGAACUUGACAGCCUUCAGGGAGAUGGGUGGCCCGCUGGCACCACCUAGUGGCCUUAAGGAGACAUGCCGCUUCCCCCUGAGCCUCAAGGACCCAGAGGCGCCCGAGAGCUAUUAACAGAACUUCCUCACCCUCCAUCCAGCUGGAUCCUUGUAGCAAACCGACGAGGCUGAGUAAAAGUGAUGAAAAUGACCAUGCUCAUCUCGUUGUUGGGGAAACUGAGGCCCAGACGGGGGAACGACACACCAGCCAGUCAGGGGCAGACCCAGCGGCCUGGAGAGACUGGCAGGGAGGUGGGGCUUGUCCCGCACCUGCCCAACCUCUGGGACGGCAGAACAAGGGGACGCUUCGUGGUGCCUCAGUGGAGGGUGCAGACACUGAGGCCCGGAGGGGACAGGGGCCUGCCCAGGCUCCCACCAAAAGCCAGAGGCCAGGCCGGGACCCCAGGCGGCCGGUCCCCCUGCCCCUGCCCGAGGCAGAGACAGGGGCUCCAGGCCCGUUCGUGGGAAGGCCACGGCAGACCAGAGCGUCAGGAUGGAUGUGCUCCUCCGGGAUGCGUCUCCAGCUGUUUCUUUGGGUUCGCCAUGCUGGUUUUUGCCAUUUACACACACAGUCACGCUCAGCCAUGACAUCAACAACGGUGGUCUUGCUUCCUGUCCGUCCCCGAGGCAUGGCACAGUGCGGCCAGCCUCCGAGAUGGCUCCCCAGAGAUCCUGGCGUCCACACCUUUGUGUCAUCCCCUCCCACAGCCAGCAGCUCGGACCUGUGUCACCAACAGGAUACUGCGUAGGUGACAGAGUGUGACUUCCGAGCUUAGGUCAUAGGAGACAUCGCAGCUGCCGCCUUGUUCUCGCGGGUCGCUCAGUCUGGGGAAGCCAGCCGCCGUGUGGUGAGGACAUCCAAGCGGCCCUGUGGAGAGGCCCAUGUGGCCAGGAAGUGAGGCCUCUGCCAACAGCCAGUGCGAGCCUGCCACCAGGGGAGGAAGCCACCUUGGAAGAGGGUCCUCCAGCCCGAGUCCAGCCUUUGGAUGCCUGUGGCCCGGUCGACAGCCUGACACAGCCUCACGGGAAACCUGAGCUGGAACCACACAGCCCCCAAGUUCCUGACCCACAGAAACAAUGUGAGAUAACAAAUUUUCACUAUUUUAAGCCACUAAGUUUUGAAGUACUUUGUUAUGAAGCAAAAGAUAAGGAAUUCAACCCGCAGUAAGUAUUCAUAUAAAUAAGUGUAUGGAUGGCCGGCAAAUGAUGACACCACCUCCCACUCGCGGGGCCCUUCCUCUGUCUGGGGCACUGAAUUAAGUGGCUCACCUGUCUUGGUUCAUAGUCAAUCGUCACAGCAACCUAUGAGCCAGCCAUCACCCCACGCCCAUUUUAUGGAUGAAGAACCAGGUACAGCGAGGUUGAAUAACUCACCCAGCAUCACACCGGCAGAGCCCAGACUCGCUCCCAGACAGGUGGGGGCCACAGGAUUCACUUCUGUACCACACGGUGGCUGCUGUCCCAUCCCAGUCCUCCUUGCCAGCCCCCUGGGGCCUGGAGGGGUCCCUCCCGCGGGUUGUGUGGCUCUGCAGAGGCUGACCUUGGAGGUGAGUGGACACGGAGGCGGAGCUGGGAAAUGCCAAGCUCGUGACCCGGAGCGACUCCUUUCAUCCGGCUUCUGGGAGCGCUGUUCUCUCCCCACCUGUGGACGCCAGUUGGACGGGAUGGGGGCAGGGCCGCUUCUGUUGAGUCACUCGCAGUGGAUCCGAGUCUCCGUGGGGGUGGGGUGGGGGUCGGGGAGCUCAGGUUCCGGUAGCCUUGUCAUCACUGCUCCUAUGCAAGCCCGCUAAGGUUAUACCCCCCGGACACUGGCUGGACACUCGCAGGACCUCGGAGGCUCCGUUCUCUGGAUCCGAAACAAUACAGUGGGGGCAGAGCUAAAAAUAACAGUGGAAAACCACCGGCCCCACUUGCCCUCUAAGAAAAGGAGGCUGAAUGGGUCUGAGGCUUCUGGGGAGCACGGAGCGCUCAUGCCCCUGCAUCGUGUGAAGGGAACUGGGCUACGCUGAGCAGGCCCCUUGUGAGAGGUGUGAGGUACAAGGGACCCGGGCAUAGGCAGCCGGGGCCCAGCUUGGGCUCCACCUGUCACACUCACUGUGUGACCUCAGGGUAGUUGCUUAACAUCUCUGUGCCUCUGAAAAAUUCAUUUGAAAAAUUGAGACAACGAUGGCACCUGCUCCCCAAGAGUGACUGAGCUCGUGCCCCAGGGUCUCCAGCUCACCUGGGGGAGGUCUUUCCAGUGACCUCACAGGCGGGGAGCUGUGACUGCCAUUUACAGAUGAGGAAAUGCGGUUAAGACUCUCAGGGGCCACACAGAGCUAAGAAGAGGCAGAAACAGUCAGGGUUCAAGCCUGAACAAUGUCAUUGCCUCUAUGUCACCUGGCCCCUAUUCACUUUUGAGCCAUCAGAACCUGCCACUGUGUGUGGCACCUGUUAGAUGCGGUCACUGUUGUCAAGCAAAUGGAUAGAAUGGAUUGGGUGGGCAGAAAGUGAACUCCCCGUCACUCCAGAGGUAUGCAAGCACAGCCUGGGGCCUGGUAGGGGUCCUCAAGCAUUGGAUUUGGGGUUGAACUCAAUAUCAUUUAAGGUCCUUCCUGCCCCUGGAUGCCAGGGCUCAUCACCGUCCUCCCCAGGAAGACAAAGAAGACACAGAGAUUAUUAGGUCUGUUUUAUAGUGGGCGAAACUGAGGCCCAGAGCCAGGUUUUGCCCAAGGUCACUCCCUCAGGCCCAGGUGAAGCUGGCUGGGGCCUCAGUCAAGGUGGAUGCUCACUCAUUCAGCCCCAGCAGGAAGGUGGGCUCCUGCCUCUGAGCGACUAGAGAGGCAGGCGGGUGACAUGAGGACACAGGACAUGGGGAAGCCGAGGGCAAGCCCUAGAGGCGUGCUGGGCCAGGGAGCGGGCAAGGCCGGCAGCAAGGGGGCCCUGGGGCUUCUUCGGUCUCCCUCCCUCAUCCGACAGGUGAACAGACGAAGACCCCGAGAGGCGAUUCCUUGCUCCAGGUCCGUCUGUUACACGGGGACAGGCUGGGGACAGGCCUGCUGAGAAGGAGCGGGAGGCACAGGCCUGGACGUGGCAGGGCCUGAGGCUCCAGCAAGGGUGGGGGUCACUAGGUGGGCAGGAGCCAGACUGGACUCGGGGUCUUCUGACCUCGCUCAGCCCCUCCCUCUGGAGACCCUUUUCCAAGCACUCAGGAUGGGCAAAGCCCUUUUCCAGAUGUGCUGCGCAGAUGCCCUCCUUUCUCCUAUGGUCAGGACUGAGAAUUCCAUCACCUCCAUUUCUUCAGAAGAGGAAACGACGGCCAGAGAGGUUAAGCAAUUUGCCUGAGGCCACAGAGCCAGCAAGGGGGCUGGGGGUGAAACUCUGGCAGUGGCUGCUAAGUCCCAGGUCUUGCCCCCCAUCACCCUGGCUCUGGCGGCCUCCCCCUGAGGGUGGAGGAUGGACCACCUCCUUUCCCUCCAAGGUCAUCUCAGCGACCUUCAGGGGCCUCUCUCAAGCUCAGCAUCCACCCCUCGGGCCCCGGCCAAGACGUGGCAGCCCGUGCCCAGGACGGGGGCAGGUGGCGAGCAGCCAACAGGGGUGUGCUGUGAGCCUGGAGCACCCACGCGUGCCAUCCACCCCACGGGCACCUCCUUCAUCACCAGCGCUUUGGGGCUAUAACUCACGUUCUGCACACUUACCCAUCUAAAGCGCACGGCUCAGUGGCUUCAGUCACUUCCCAGAGUAUCCACAUUUUCAUCACCCGGAAAGAAACCCUCACCUCUUAGCGGUCGCUCCCUUCCCCCUCCCCUGCCCCAGGCCCCCACGCGUCUCCUUCCUGUCUCUGUAGAUUUGCCUAUUGUGGCGGGUUCCAUAAUGGAAGGGCAAGACCCGGGAUACCUCCUUUUGAAGCCUUGGGCAGUAAGACGGUGUUCUCCCCAUUUCACAGUAAGGGAACUGCAGCUCAGAGUGGUCAAGUAACUUGCCCAAGGUCACCCAGCUCAGAAAUGGUGGGAGGAUUUGGACUAUGUCUCUCUGGCUCCAGAGACCCCAGGCCACCCUCUGUGGCCUGGAGCCCAGAGUUGCCUGACAGCUUCAAGGGCCUGGGGGCCAGGGAGUGGGAGGGAGGCUGAGAGCAUGGGGGAGUUUGAGGGUGUGGAGGGCCCAGAGGAGGCACCGGGUCUGGUCACCAGGUACCAGGAUCACAGGGAAGAAAAGAAAUGGGCCCGGCAGGUGGGGGGCGGGGGCCGGCAGACUGGAGAAGGGGGCUACCCUCCCCUAGGUGGCAGUCUGGCCCUGGCUGUCUGUCCUUUCCUGCUGAUCGGUCCAGGCACAGCCCCAGGAUGCCUUCCCCGCUGCUGCCUCCUCUCCCUCUGGAAACAGCCCUCUCCCCUGACUCGUGUAGACCCCGGCCCCGGAGGAUGACUCAGCCUGAGCCCUGGAGCCAGCUGUCCCUCUGCCUCCUCCUCCUCCCCAGCUGUCCCCCUCUGGCAGAAGUUCCCGGGACGUGAUUGUCACCAACCCCAGGCUGGCUGUGCCAGGAUGGCUGCGGCCAGCACCCGAGGGCGGGGUGGCUCUGCCUGCAUGUCCUCCGGGCCGGCCUCUGGCCAGGGCACUCAUGCCCUUUGAGUCAGGGGGCCCUGCUCACCCCUUACUGGUGAGCCCCCUUCAGAUAAACAUGAGAACCUCAGGUCCUCUUGUACUUUUAAAGUCAUUUCCAUAUUUUGACCAAAGGAAACCGAAUUUUAGAAUUUGCUCUUUCAGGCUACUCUCAGCUUGGGACCCCAGUCUGGUCCAUCCCACCAGCCCCCUUGGGAAUCUCAAUUUACUGAACCCCUGACACAUAGAUCAAGUUUCCUCUUGGGUGGAUGGGGAAACUGAGGCUCAGAGGAGAAAAGGGACUUGCCCAAGGUCAGCCGCUGGAAGGGACAGGCUUGGGAGGUGGGGCUCCCAGCACCAGGGUCCCCAGGAAAUGGAAUUCUGAGAGGACAGCUGUGGGCCUAGCCUGCCAGGGCCAGGAGGGGGGCCACUGUGACCCUUAGUGGCCCAACAGUCAAAUGAUAGCAGCAGCUGCUUAGUAAGCUCGAGUCUCAAACCUUUAUUCCCUUUUUCAUCCACGAAUUCAUUUAGGGCCUGGAUUGGAAGACCAGCUCCAGUAAACUUAGUGCUCUGUGACUUUGGGCAAGUCAGUUAACCUCUCUAGGACUCAGUCUCCUCAUGGAUAAGAGGGGUGUGAUGAUAACAGCGCCUGCCUCCCAGGGCUGGAGUGAAGAGAGAAUGAGUCACUGUGCGGACAGUGCGUAGAAAGCGCCCAGCACUGUCAGGGGCCUGAGGAACGUGAGCUGACGUUGUUACUAGGAUUCCUGGUGACUGCAUGUGUGGCAGAGCCACUUCCACUCCCCUGGACAGCAGGGAACCUCUGUGAAAGGAUGAGACAGAUGAAAGCGAGAAAAACGUGUCUCUUGCCCGGAUGGGCAGGUUCAAAAGCUUAGGCCCUAAGAGGACCCAAAAGAACACACAGGAAGGGCAAAAGACUGGGAGGAAAUCGUGAAGCGUCUCUGCUUCCAGGGCUGGAAAGUCAUUUUCGGAACCAGCAGAAGGAAGAGUUGAAAAGAAAACAGUAAGAUGGCAGGUGAUGGUGGUUCCCAG
ensembl:lncRNA